GUUGUAUGGUUAAGUGACUAAGCGUACACGGUGGAUGCCUUGGCAGUCAGAGGCGAUGAAAGACGUAGUAACUUGCGAUAAGCCCAGAUUAGGUAGUAACAACCAUUUGAGUCUGGGAUUUCUGAAUGGGGAAACCCACGUGCAUAAGCACGUAUCCUUACCUGAAUACAUAGGGUAAGGAGGCGAACCGGGGGAACUGAAACAUCUAAGUACCCCGAGGAAAAGAAAUCAACCGAGAUUCCGAAAGUAGCGGCGAGCGAAAUUGGACUAGCCCUUAAGCUUUACACGCGUUAGACGAACGGUCUGGAAAGUCCGACGAUACAGGGUGAUAGUCCCGUAGUUGACGACGUGUGUUCAGUGAAAUCGAGUAGGGCGGGACACGUGAUAUCCUGUCUGAAUAUGGGGGGACCAUCCUCCAAGGCUAAAUACUACUGACUGACCGAUAGUGAACCAGUACCGUGAGGGAAAGGCGAAAAGAACCCCUGUGAGGGGAGUGAAAUAGAACCUGAAACCGUGUACGUACAAGCAGUAGGAGCAGGCUUUGUCCUGUGACUGCGUACCUUUUGUAUAAUGGGUCAGCGACUUAUAUUCAGUGGCAAGGUUAACCAUCUAGGGGAGCCGUAGGGAAACCGAGUCUUAACUGGGCGUUCAGUCUCUGGAUAUAGACCCGAAACCAGGUGAUCUAGCCAUGGGCAGGUUGAAGGUUGAGUAACAUCAACUGGAGGACCGAACCGACUAAUGUUGAAAAAUUAGCGGAUGACUUGUGGCUAGGGGUGAAAGGCCAAUCAAACCUGGAGAUAGCUGGUUCUCCCCGAAAGCUAUUUAGGUAGCGCCUCGGACGAAUACUACUGGGGGUAGAGCACUGUUAAGGCUAGGGGGUCAUCCCGACUUACCAACCCUUUGCAAACUCCGAAUACCAGUAAGUACUAUCCGGGAGACACACGGCGGGUGCUAACGUCCGUCGUGGAGAGGGAAACAACCCAGACCGCCAGCUAAGGUCCCAAAUUACUACUAAGUGGGAAACGAUGUGGGAAGGCUCAGACAGCCAGGAUGUUGGCUUAGAAGCAGCCAUCAUUUAAAGAAAGCGUAAUAGCUCACUG
rnacentral:rRNA from 1 species